CCUACGGGUGGCAGCAGUGAGGAAUAUUGGUCAAUGGGAGAGAGCCUGAACCAGCCAAGCCGCGUGAGGGAAGACGGCCCUAUGGGUUGUAAACCUCUUUUGUCGGGGAACAAAACCCGGGACGUGUCCCGGGCUGAGGGUAUCCGAAGAAAAAGCAUCGGCUAACUCCGUGCCAGCAGCCGCGGUAAUACGGAGGAUGCGAGCGUUAUCCGGAUUUAUUGGGUUUAAAGGGUGCGUAGGCGGUCCGUUAAGUCAGCGGUAAAAUUGCGGGGCUCAACCCCGGCGAGCCGUUGAAACUGGCAGACUUGAGUUGGCGAGAAGUACGCGGAAUGCGCGGUGUAGCGGUGAAAUGCUUAGAUAUCGCGCAGAACUCCGAUUGCGAAGGCAGCGUACCGGCGCCAGACUGACGCUGAGGCACGAAAGCGUGGGGAUCGAACAGGAUUAGAUACCCGUGUAGUC
rnacentral:rRNA from 1 species